rnacentral:rRNA from 1 species
UGACGUGGAUGCUAGUCUCAUAGGUUAAGCCAUGCAUGUGGAAGCGAAGCCUUUUAAGGUGGAGCGGCGUACGGCUCAGUAACGGGCGAUAGAUUUGAUCUGCCUAUACGGACAUCCUCUGUAAACGGAGGGUAAAACGUAAGGGGGGCUUCCAUGCGGAAGUUCGCCAAACCUGUAAAGGUGAGGCAGAGUAAGAAGCCAUCCCAUCAGUUAUUAAGUAGGGUAAGGGCCUACUUAGACGAAGACGGGUACGGGGAAUUAUCGUUUGAUUCCGGAGAGGGAGCCUGAGAGACGGCUACCGGGUCCAAGGACAACAGCAGGCGCGAAAAUUACCGCAGCCUGCGAUCAGGGCGGUAGUAAGGAGACGUGAUGACGAAGUGCUGAUAAAAGCUGCACUAGUGACAGGAGGAAAAGACUGGUGCCAGCACCCGCGGUAAUACCAGCUCCUGGAGUGUCUAUGUUGAUUGCUGCAGUUAAAGAGUUACUAGCCGAGGCAUUAUUAACUACGUUAAAGGGGAUAUCUCAAUUAUCCCUGUGCGCAGUGAUUUUGCAGAAUAAGGAGUGCUUAGGGGCCAGAGUAUCAUACGGCGACUGGUGAAAUGGGAUGACCCGUGUGGGAGUAACAGAGGCGAAAGCGCUGGCCAGGGGCGAGUCCGAUGGUAAAGGACGUAGGCUAGAGGAUCGAAGACGAUUAGAGACCGUUGUAGUUCUAGCAGUAAACGAUGCCGAUGUCGUGGUGCCGAAUAAUGGCGACGCGAAAGAGAAAUCGAGUAGGGCCCUGGGGAGAGUACACGCGCAAGCGAGAAAUUUAAAGGAAAUUGACGGAAGAACACCACAAGGAGUGGAGUGUGCGGCUUAAUUUGACUCAACGCGGGACAACUUACCGGGCCCGACGACCGUAUGAGUGUAACACACGAUAGGUCGAAGAGUGGUGCAUGGCCGUUAACGACGAGUGGAG